AAAGAAUCCCAACAGCAAUCUUGAUACUCGCAAUCGUGAUUAUUGGAUUGCAAGACGACAAGCUAAAAAUAAUAGGAAGUUUGGAGCUUGACAGAAGUUGACGAUUUUGCUUCUGUUAUGUGAGUGCCUAACAAAGUUAAUAGAGAAAAAGAGUCCAUACGAGCUUAUUCAAACUAGUUUGGAAUUGAAACUUAGUUGUUGUAUUAUGUGUGGGGAUUGUGCCUGUACAUUGGAUGGGGGAGUGGAGUAACCUCUAUUUCAGGUGUAAAAUGUCCUAAUCAAACUGAAAUGGAGGUAAAAUUUUUUGGAUCACGAAUGUGGUGUAUCUUGAUAAAAGUAAGUUCCUUCUUUGGCUCUUCUUUAAUUUUCAUUUUUUUUUUUUUUUUUUUUUUU
rnacentral:misc_RNA from 1 species